rnacentral:lncRNA from 1 species
ACCACACACUUUGGCUUAUAUGCUUACUCGAGCAAUAUGCUUAUUAGCAACCCGACACUUGUACGUCCUCCAAACACUCUCGUUUAUUUAUUUUUAAUAAAUCACCAUACUCAUUUAUAAUUAAGUAUCCACAUAUAUAUAUAUAUAUAUGGAUUUGGUAGCUAAUUAACAACACUUGAUUGAUGCAUAUGACAUGUUGGCGAUAUCUUAGGAUCAAUUAAUAAUAACAAGGCCAAGAGCAUUCACACUGCUGGCCGGAAAGGCAAUUGCUGUAGCUGUAGUCUCCAUGCACUCUCCAACACGCCCAGACGCAUCCCGACCGAUCGCAUCCUCCUGUGUACACCACUUCAUGACACGUAUGCAUGCGUGCUGCAUCGGCUUCUUGAACUAGUACCGUUGCUGCUGCACAUAAACAUGUAUCAAUCAGAAACUCACCUAACAACUCAAAUUAGUGAGACGCAACGCCUCUUACCCCAUACUAGUAAUGAUGAACCAACCGACCUGAGAAUAUCAAGGCAAGUGUGAAGAUCUGGAGAAAAGAGAUAGGAGCCAUUUUGGUUGGUUUUGCCUUUAUGGUGGGUGUUCUGACCUUUAUUUUGAGUGUGAAAUGAAUGAGAGUCUCAUGUCUACUUAUGUGAGUAGUUUGUGUGGAUAAGAUCAUAA